CACUAAGAAGCUAAAUUGGGCCUAGCGUUAGCCUUUUAAGCUAAAAACUGGUGAUUCCCUACCACCCUUAGUGA
rnacentral:tRNA from 1 species